ACUCAUAUCAACAAUUUGGUGAAUUUGAUUGAUAUGGCACUGUAACGGUGAUAUCAGCCCAAAACAAAACCAAACCAACCCUCAUUUUUACUGUAGCGGUGAUAUCACGUACACAAGGUCGCAUAUCAGAUUUUAGGGCAUUUUUCAGCGUCGUUUCUCUCUCUUCGCGCAACUCCUUGGAGGCGAUUUCAGUGGCGAUCCAAUUGUCUUUCGACUCCAUACACAUCCUCUUCCACCACCGAUCUGGAAGAGCUCCUCCACCAGCUACCUCCUUCCAUUUUUGCUUCUCAUUUAUCUGUCUUCUCACAGGUCGGUUGAGGCGAUUUCAUUUGCGCCUCUCAUCUCUUUUUAUUCUCGCAGAUCGGGGUUGGUAGACCACAGAUCAAACGUUUUUGUCUACAAAUCUUUCAAAAAGAAAGACCAAUUUCAUUUCGGGCUCGGCUUUCCUAUCAUUUCUCUCUAUUCUCUGAAACCCUAGCUCGGUGGACAGCAUUCGAAGGUGUUCAUCAGUUCCAGGGUUAAAGCUUGGACGAGCAGAGCAGAUAUAGACUUUCACUCUACCGAUAACGUAGGAUUUCCUUCCAGAUGUUCGAUUUGGAUUUUAUCUUCAGUUUUUACUUUCAUUUCAAUUUGGAGUUUCAGUAGGGGUCCACUAGAGAUGGAUUCCCGAGUUGUAUGGAUUGGAGGAGUUUGAAUAAGUUGGUUUUUAAUUAGUUUAAGUUGAGGUUUUCUUUUUAAUUUAGUAUUCUUUCAGUUUUUAACUUUUAUAUCUUAUUCACUUUGUAUUCCGUGUUCGAUUUAAAAUACUUUAAUUGUUUGAUAUACCUCGAGUUUGGGCUCGGACCUUAUCAACCCGCGUCUCGGAUUCGACGGGUAUCACACACAUGCUACUGGUCAGCAUGUUCAUUUUCUACAAAAGCACCUAAACCUCACCAAGUGUUAACAAUAUCUCAAGUGGCAACACAUGAAGCUGCAAUUCAUAACAUUGUGGGCAAUGCAGACAUGAUUGAUGUAGAACGACCUAAUGUAGAAGGACUUAUUGACCUCAAUCCUACUCCCAAACCUGUAGCUAAGAAACCUAAGAAAGAAAGUUUUUCCUUCACAAUGUCUCAAGUGAUGGCAUGUUUGACUGAUAUUGGGAACGCGAAAGCUGAUAAAAUUGCCAAAGCCAUAACAGGAUCAUCUUCUAGUUGUUAACUAUCUCGUGUUAAAGAAAUGCCUAAAGUGACAUCUCCCAGUAAAAAAGAAAAAGAAAAAUAAAUGGAUCCCAGCAUGAGGAGUGCCUUAGGAUUGUCAACACAUUAGUGGGGAUUAAUGAUACCCAUUAUGCUAAGAUCAUAAGGAUGUUUGGUGAGAACAAGGUGUGGGGGGACAUAUUUCUUCGCAUUCCUGAUGAGAAGAAUGUUGGGUGGGUGAUGAAUCAGCCUCUGUGAUAUGUUCGCUAUCUUACUUUUAUGUGUUUUUGGAUGACUGUUUUAUAACUCUUUUUACAUUACUGUUGGAAGAGUGUAUUUAAAUCCUCUAUGUACUGCUUUUAAAUUAAUGUUAGAUGACUAUUUAUGUUCUAUAUCUAUUGCUUUUAUAUUAUUGCUGGAUAAUUAUAUGAUUUGGUAUGUCUUUUAUCAUUUUUGUAUUGUUGAUGAAUAACUGUAUUAUUUGUUAUAUAUUUUUCCAUUUUCCUUAUAUUAUGAAGUUGUUUAAUUUUUAUUACAAUAAUUGCUUCUGUUUAUUCUUAAAUAGGAUAGUAGAUAUGGAUAUAAGGACAAUAUAAACUAUGUAUGAUGAUGAUGAUGAGGAGGAAAUUUUUGUAUUGAUCGCAGCCGUAUAUGAGUACUAGCAUAAACAUUUUGAUAAGCAACGUUGUAGGAAUUCCAUGUUACAAAAGGAAGAUUACGUAUUCGAGAUUUUAAAUGGACAUGAAGGUAGGUGUUAUGAAAAUUUUCGGAUGUACCCCAAUACCUUUAGGGCUUUGUGUCGUGAAUUGAAAUUGUUAUGAUUGAAAGAUCCAACAUUUGUAACAGUAGAAGAACAAGUUGCAAUUUUCCUACUUACCGUGUCUCACAAUGAAAGGAAUCGUGUCGUUGUUGAAAGAUUCCAACACUCUACAUCCACAAUUUCAUAUCACUUUCAUGUUGUCUUAAAGUUAAUUUGUAAGUUAGGGACUAAGAUUAUUGUUUCCUUGGAUUUGAAUGAAAUUCUUAAACAGAUAAAGAACAAUCCAAAGUUUUACCCAUACUUUAAGAAUUGUGUAGGAGCCAUAGAUGGUACUCAUAUCCAUGUCAGUGCCAGUUGGAUAACAAAUUCCCUUUCUUGGUAAAAAGGGUGAUACGACCCAAAAUGUCAUGGCCAUGUGUUCUUUUGAUAUGAAAUUCACAUACAUUCUAGCAGGGUGGGAAUGGUUUGCUAAUGAUUCGAAGAUUUUAAAUGAGUGCAUUCAGAAUGAGAAUUUAAAUUUUACACCACCACCCGAAGGUAAGAAAAUUACCUUUCCAUAUUUAUGCAUUUAACAUUAAAAAUACGUUAAUUUUAAUACUUAACAUGACAGGUAAGUUUUAUUUAGUGCACUCUGGGUACGCCAAUUAACCGGGGUUUUUGGCCCAUUUUCGGGGUCAACGUUAGCACAUGCAGGAAUAUCGUGGACAUACUAGAAUUGAUCGGUUGGUCAAUUAACAUCAACCUUCACAAUAGCACGAAUCAUUGUAAAAUAGGGCUAUUGGUCGGGUAAGUCGAACCACUGGGACUGCGCUAAUCUAUGGCAACCUAAGUGUCUAGAGUCAUUUUAGAGUGAUAAGGUGUAAUAAAGAGUUGUUGAUUGGUUUGUCACUAAGCUAGAAAUGUAAAGAUGCAUAAAAUAAUAAAUGGAAGGAGAUUAAAAGGAGUGAAACUUAGGUGGAGAGGACUAGGGAAAUGAAUCCACCACACACCUCAUAAACAUGCUAGCUUGCAAUUAACUUGGGGAGCUACUUAUGUAAAUGACCAUGAUAUGUAGAGAUGCAUGAUAACUACACUAUCUUCAAGAAGUUCAUACAAUCAAGAGCUAAGUAUAAACCAUCUAAGUAUAAUCCCUAGGAAUGGCCUAUCAAAGCCCUUACUUUGUAUGGUAAAUGCACAUGUAAUCAAAGACUAAGUAUAAUCAAUCCACGGUUGGUAUGAACCAUCUACUUAAUUACAUUAAACUAGGGGUGUAGUAUGAUUCAUCGUUCCUAGGAAUGGACUAUCAAAACCUUCACAAGACAUGCCAAGAAAAUCAUUUCACAAUCUCAUCUCCAUUCCCACUAUGAAGAUGCAAGCUAUAAAAUCAUGAGAGAAUAUAACCUAAAACAAGAUGAUAAAACUCAACAUAAUCAUUAAUAGAAAUUAAGAUCCAUUACAACAUGUGUAGAGCUCUAGAUUAUGAAAAAUACCACAUACAUACUUCAUUCCCCAAAUUAAGAACAAAACUAGAGUAUGCUUACAAGGGAGGCUUCAUCACCUCCCUAGAAGAAGAGUUAGUUACCCAUUGGAACCUUAGAAUGAAGAAGAAGCUUGAACUCCAUCUCCAAUUUUUGAGCUCCCCUUUGUUAGCUUGAAGAACUCCUUUCUUUUCUCCCCUCUCUCUCCUUUUAUCUUGUAAAAAUGAAGGAUAGCAUGCAUGUGGCCCUUAGUUGCCUUAUAUCUUUCAACCAAGCUCUCUCUCUCUUCCAAAGACAUUCCCAACCACUCCAUAAAGAAGGAGGAUGGAAAUGUGAAAACCAAUGCACAAGUGGGCUGAAGAGGGGUUCAUUUCCGAGCUGCAAUCUGGCUAAUUUUCGAGCACUCAAAGAGUGGUCUCGAGCACUCUAAAUUAGUGUAAUGUGCAACAUGCUCUUCUUGCUUAGCACUGACCUACUUUGGUAAAACUGCUAUAACUUUGCGCCCCGAACUCCGAAUGAUAAUCUGUUUAAAGAUUUGGAGAGCUGCUUCAGUGCUUUAAAAAUUUCAUGUUUUGAUGAAGACCCAAUUCUCAAGUCUGGUUGGUCAAAAAUGGGGAGAAAGGCAGUACUUUAGUGCUGCUAGGCAGUUCUACGCACCUCUGUUAAGAAGAUCAUAACUCUCUGUUCCAAACUCCGAAUGACGAACCGCUUGAAGAUUUGGAAAGCUGAUUCAUAGCUCUAAAUCUUUCAUGUUAUGAUGGAAGUCCAGUUCUUGAGUUUGCUAGGUCAAAAAUGGCGACAAAAGUCAGGUUCUACCGCUGCAAGAAAUUCAGAAUUGGCACCCUUUUUGUUCAUAAUUCUACAAGGCAUCAUUUUUGCUUCCUUUUUGCACUUUAACCUGAAAAUGCACAAAAACAUGCAAAUGGAGUUAAUCUACAUGAAAUAAUCAAUUAAUGGACUUUGUUAAUGUAAUUUAGGGCGCCUGAAUAUACAGUAUUCAGCGCUUAUCACUAGAGGACCAUGUGAUAGAGAAGAGGUGUACAAUUUUAGGCACUCGUCAUUGAGGAAUAUCAUAGAGCGAUGUUUUGAGUUGGUAAAGAUGAGAUUCGCUAUAUUGAAGCAAAUGCCCCUUUAUCACUUUGACACUCAAGUUCUUAUUGUCAUUGCUUGCUGUACAUUGCAUAAUUUCAUAAGAUCCCAAGGUGAAUCUGAUGAAAUUUUUGAUUGUGAAACCCCUGAAUCUUUUACUUCACAAAAUGAACCUGAUGUGGAUGACAUUGUUGAGGUCGUCAGUGCUAUUAAUACACAGAUGCGACAGAUGGAUAUUUAUCGUGAUAGUAUUGCUAACCUAAUUUGGGAGCACUGUAAUCACUAAUUAUAAUAGUGUGUAAUAGUGUGUAGGAUUUUAAUAUAUAUGGAUAACUGUAAUAACUAAUUAUAUUACGUAAAUUAAACUCACAUGCAUACAAUAUGGAUAACUGUAGUAACUAAUUAUAUUAAGACAUCAAAUAUUAAAUACUUUAGUACUUAUAGGCGGACUUAUGUAUAGGCUUGAAAGUGAGCGACCACAAUGUGCAUGUGGUAGAGGUCCUAUGCAUCUGUAUAGGGCUCGAACUCCAAAAAAUGAUGGUCGACAAUUCUAUAGGUGUCCAGCUCAGUAGUCAUAUAUGAAUGCAUUUAUGUGGGUGGAAGAGUUGCACCAAGGUGCACAAGUUGAAGAACAGGUUCAAUCUGACUUGGACAGAGUCAUUGCAAUAAUUCAAAAUUUACAAUGUAAACAGAAGUACAUGCUCUUCCUAGGUUGUGGAUGUCUUACUAUCACAAUCAUGUUUAUUGUGAUUGUCUUCUUCUUACUCAUUAUCGUUGUUAUUGAAAGAUGAAGUUAGAUAAACUUCCAUCUUUUGUAAUAUAUGACAUGUAAUAGGUAUUUAGUUAAUUUCCUGUGUUUCAUUUGGUAUGUAAUAUAUACUUAAUUUUUUGUAUUUGGAUGACCUUGCUGGUGAGAACUAUAAAUGCUAUAUUUUCAACUGCGUAUUAAAUGGUAUAAAUGUGUUUGGUUU